GACGAACGCUGGCGGCGUGCUUAACACAUGCAAGUCGAACGGAGUGGCGAACGGGUUAGUAACACGUGGGUUACCUGCCCUGCACUUCGGGCUAAGCCUGGGAAACUGGGUCUAAUACCGGAUAGUGUGGGAUGGGCCCGCGGCCUAUCAGCUUGUUGGUGGGGUAAUGGCCUACCCAGGCGGCGACGGGUAGCCGGCCUGAGAGGGUGGACGGCCAAAUUGUGACUGGGACACGGCCCAGACUCUUACGGGAGGCAGCAGUGGGGAAUAUUGCACAAUGGGCGGAAGCGUGAUGCAGAGACGCCGCGUGGGGGAUGACGGCCUUCGGGUUGUAAACUCCUUUCACCAUCGACGCGGUAGUGGCAGAAGAAGCACCGGCUAACUACGUGCCAGCAGCCGCGGUAAUUC
rnacentral:rRNA from 1 species